AACGUAGGAGACAACCGUUAUCCGGAUUUACUGGGCGUAAAGGGCGUGUAGGCGGUUUGUUAAGUCUGGCGUGAAAGCUCUCGGCUAAACCGGGAGAGGUCGUUGGAUACUGGCAAACUAGAGGAUGGUAGAGGCGUGUGGAAUUCCGGGUGUAGUGGUGAAAUGCGUAGAGAUCCGGAGGAACACCAGUGGCGAAGGCGACACGCUGGGCCAUACCUGACGCUAAAGCGCGACAGCAUGGGGAGCAAACGGG
rnacentral:rRNA from 1 species